rnacentral:rRNA from 1 species
GACGAACGCUGGCGGCGUGCUUAACACAUGCAAGUCGAACGGUAAGGCCCUUCGGGUACGACGAGUGGCGAACGGGUGAGUAACACGUGGGUGAUCUGCCCUGCACUUCGGGAUAAGCCUGGGAAACUGGGUCUAAUACCGGAUAGGACCAUGGACUUCACGGUUUGUGGUGGAAAGCUUUUGCGGUGUGGGAUGGGCCCGCGGCCUAUCAGCUUGUUGGUGGGGUAAUGGCCUACCAAGGCGACGACGGGGUAGCCGGCCUGAGAGGGUGUCCGGCCACACUGGGACUGAGAUACGGCCCAGACUCCUACGGGAGGCAGCAGUGGGAACAUUGCACAAUGGGCGCAAGCCUGAUGCAGCGACGCCGCGUGAGGGAUGACGGCCUCGGUUGUAA